rnacentral:miRNA from 1 species
UAUUAGAGUUAGGUGAUUACU